rnacentral:lncRNA from 1 species
UUUGCUAUCCGAAAUAGGGUAGAUGACUCCGACGUCUAGCAGCUUCAAGACCUCCUUCUUUACAACUUCAAUCAUUAGUGGGUUCAAUCACCUCUACACCUAUUGUUGGGCUUAUUGUCUUCCUCUAUCAGUAUUUUAUGCAUGCAAGUAAAAGGUGAUAUUUCUUUAAUGUUAGUGAUGGUCCACCCGAUUGCCUCCCUAUAGUCCUGGAGUACCUUGAUUAGUCUUUCUUCUUCUGUUUUGCUCAAUUUAUUGGAGAUUAUCACUGGAAGAGUUUCUCUCUCUCCCAGGACCAUGUACUUCAGGUGUCUAGGCAGUGGCUUCAGCUC